rnacentral:rRNA from 1 species
UACGUAGGGUGCAAGCGUUAAUCGGAAUUACUGGGCGUAAAGCGUGCGCAGGCGGUGAUGUAAGACAGAUGUGAAAUCCCCGGGCUCAACCUGGGAACUGCAUUUGUGACUGCAUCGCUGGAGUGCGGCAGAGGGGGAUGGAAUUCCGCGUGUAGCAGUGAAAUGCGUAGAGAUCGGGAAGAACGCCAAGGGCGAAGGCACUCUGCUAGGCCUGAUUUCGCGACUGACACUCAGGGACGAGAGCCAGGGGAGCGAAUGGG